UACAGAGGUCUCAAGCGUUGUUCGGAUUCAUUGGGCGUAAAGGGUGCGUAGGUGGUGGGGUAAGUCGGAUGUGAAAUCUCGGGGCUCAACCCCGAAACUGCACUUGAUACUGCCCUGCUCGAGUACUGGAGAGGAGAUUGGAAUUUACGGUGUAGCAGUGAAAUGCGUAGAUAUCGUAAGGAAGACCAGUGGCGAAGGCGAAUCUCUGGACAGUUACUGACACUGAGGCACGAAGGCCAGGGGAGCAAACGGG
rnacentral:rRNA from 1 species